rnacentral:rRNA from 1 species
AACGAACGCUGGCGGCAGGCUUAACACAUGCAAGUCGAGCGCCCCGCAAGGGGCGCGGCAGACGUGUGAGUAACACGUGGGAACGUACCAUUUACUACGGAAUAGCUCCGGGAAACCAGAAUUAAUACCGUACGUGCCCUUUGGGGGACAGAUUUAUCGGUACAGGAUCGGCCCGCGUUGGAUGAGCUAGUUGGUGGGGUAAAGGCAUACCAAGGCGACGAGCCAUAGCUGGUCUGAGAGGAUGAUCAGCCACAUUGGGACUGCGACACGGCCCAAACUCCUACGGGAGGCAGCAGUGGGGAAUAUUGGACAAUGGGCGCAAGCCUGAUCCAGCCAUGCCGCGUGAGUGAUGAAGGCCCUAGGGUUGUAAAGCUCUUUCACCGGUGAAGAUAAUGACGGUAACCGGAGAAGAAGCCCCGGCUAACUUCGUGCCAGCAGCCGCAGUAA